UGGGGAAUAUUGGACAAUGGGCGAAAGCCUGAUCCAGCCAUGCCGCGUGUGUGAAGAAGGUCUUCGGAUUGUAAAGCACUUUAAGUUGGGAGGAAGGGCAGUAAGUUAAUACCUUGCUGUUUUGACGUUACCGACAGAAUAAGCACCGGCUAACUCUGUGCCAGCAGCCGCGGUAAUACAGAGGGUGCAAGCGUUAAUCGGAAUUACUGGGCGUAAAGCGCGCGUAGGUGGUUUGUUAAGUUGGAUGUGAAAGCCCCGGGCUCAACCUGGGAACUGCAUCCAAAACUGGCAAGCUAGAGUACGGUAGAGGGUGUGGAAUUUCCUGUGUAGCGGUGAAAUGCGUAGAUAUAGGAAGGAACACCAGUGGCGAAGGCGACCACCUGGACUGAUACUGACACUGAGGUGCGAAAGCGUGGGGAGCAAACAGGAUUAGAUACCCCAGUAGUCCCUGAGCGGGCUGGCAAGGCGCAU
rnacentral:rRNA from 1 species